AUUCAUCUGAUGAUGGACUUUUGGGUUGCUUCCACCUCUUGACUAUUGGCAUAGCCCCAUUUUUAAAAUAUUGCAAUUUAAUUUAACUCUUACCUUCUCAUUCCCUCUGGUGGAUUUAAUAAAUGCAAUAUCAUCUGUAAGGCACGUGUUCCAAUAAGGAAGAGAAUGUAGCAUGAGAAGAGAGUUGAAGGCAGAACCCUAGGGAACCCAGUUCUUUUAAGAUGCCAGGAAACUAAUAAGAAGGAGGACGAUAAGGAAGGAUCAGUGGGAAAGAAGAAGCCCCAGGGAUAGGAGCGCUUCCAAGAGGAAGAAGACAAAGGUCAGAAAGUACAAGGAGGCCAAGUAAGGUAUCAGAUGAUGAUGACGAUGAUGAUGAUGAUGAUGAUGAUGAUGAUGAUGAUGAUGAUGAUGGUGAUCAUAUCCAGAGAGAAGCAAAGUGAAUGUGUACCAUUGUGUCUUGAAUCCAGCUUGGCCAUAAGGAAAUGGGGCGAGACUUUGUCAUGUAUGUCGCUGAAGUUCAGCUAUGCAAAAAUGUUCACCUAUCCUUGAUCAACCAGUCCAGGAACCAUCAAAGAAGAAAAUGAGAUUCGACUUAGAAGACCUGUUCUUUAUAAACCCCUGCACAGCCCUAAUGAUCAACACCACUUCCAGUGCUCAUAAAUUACUGCUUCAAUAAUUGUUCUGCAAUUCUGCCUAUUCUCAUUGAAUGCUUCGUAUAAUCCCUUUAUUUACUUUGGGCUACGAUUCAUUUUUAUCAGUGAGUAUUGUACUUGUUUCAUCU
rnacentral:lncRNA from 1 species